CGUGCACAGGGUCGAUGGCUCAGGCGCUGCUACUCGCGAGAUUGACGAACUGAAGCUGCUGCACUAAACUGCAUCUGUGUGAAAAUAAAUUCAGACAGGAACAGUUUCAGUAGGGUAGGCAAGGUGUUUGGUGAAAUGAAAAUGGCAAUUGCAGAAGGAAUUUCGAGCUGAAAAUUUCCUACGGGUCGUCAAAUUCUUUUCUCGGAGAAGAGACAACGACAGUAUGUGAGGAAUAAGCAUUGGUUAACUCUGUGCCAGCUGCCAUGGUAAGACAGAGGAUGCAAGCGUUAUCCGGAAUGAUUGGGCGUAAAGCGUCUGUAGGUGGCUUUUCAAGUCCGCCGUCAAAUCCCAGGGCUCAACCCUGGACAGGCGG
rnacentral:ncRNA from 1 species